CAGCAGCCGCGGGAAUACGAAGGGGGCUAGCGUUGUUCGGAUUUACUGGGCGUAAAGCGCACGUAGGCGGACGCUUAAGUCAGGGGUGAAAUCCCAGAGCUCAACUCUGGAACUGCCUUUGAUACUGUCGAUCUGGAGUAUGGAAGAGGUGAGUGGAAUUCCGAGUGUAGAGGUGAAAUUCGUAGAUAUUCGGAGGAACACCAGUGGCGAAGGCGGCUCACUGGUCCAUUACUGACGCUGAGGUGCGAAAGCGUGGGGAGCAAACAGGAUUAGAUACCCCCGUAGUCCCUGUCUCUUAUAC
rnacentral:rRNA from 1 species